CGCAAGGAGCUGGGAGAGCUGGGAGAGCUGACCUAACUGGCCAAAGGGAUGCUUGGUACCAGCUGCCAUCGGGUGAAACUAUAAAACCAAUAGGUCAGGAGGAGAUCUGCAGCGUUGGGCCUGUUUGGACAUCAUCUAUCUGUUGGGCAUGGCAUCGAACACCCAGGAGGAUCUGCAGCAGGAUGACUCUGUGGAAACGGGCAAUGCAGGCCAGCUACAGCAGGAAGAGCUAAGUCAGGCAACAGACAAGAGUUGUCCCAUCUGCCUGGACGCCAUCUGCUAUGCUGCCCGCAUGCCAGCCUGCUUCCACUUCUUCUGCUUUAGCUGUAUCUGGCAGUGGGCUGCCAUCAAUGCUGUGUGCCCAAUCUGCAGGCAGCCUUUCGAAUACAUCUUGUGUGCGAUGCAAGGAGACUGUGACUACCAGCAGUACAGGCCAGAGGCAAUCAGAGAGGGAGAGGGGGCAGACCAGAACCCUGCAGCAGUGCUACAACAUGCGCCUGCAUCACGUCCAUGAUUGGUCCAUGGCAGGGAGAACAGCUUGUACUACUGGUCUUCAGGGCUGCGCGGCCCUUCAGCAACUUUGGACCCAGCACCUUCAGCACCUUUGCACCCAACCUUCAGAGCAGCACCUUCAGAGCUGCCGAAUGCAAUGCAGCUCCCAGAAAUCCCCGUGGACAAGCAUCCCAGAAGCUAUAGCAUGCAGCUCCUGCAUUUCCUUGACUUAGCACAGGCAGCCACCAGAUCUGAAACCUUCGGAUAAGAAACUGGAUGAAUCACCACAAAGGAAAAACACACUCAAAACUCAAAACAGAUGGGACUAUACACUGAGCAUGUCCAAGAAGAAGUGAAAAACAAGAAAAUAUUUAAGGAAUUAGUUAAUGUAGAACAACCCAUUGUCUGGAGCGAGUUAGCAUUACUUACUUUGUGGAAUUAUGAGUGUGUGUAUUGGGCUGUAUAAAUAUAAUUACUUCAGAGCUACUAGUUGUGCAGUUGGGGAGGUGCAAGCUGCCAUUCACCUAUGUAUACACUUUAAAUAAACUACUUUGCAUCCUGA